CUUCUUCCUCCAUAGCUCUCUAAACCCAUCUGGUGCCAUCCACUUACCCAUUGCCCAUCACAACGCUCUCCAAAAGACCCACAUGAAAUAAAUCUCCCAUGGUUCCAGGAAAAGCUCCAGGUCAUUUGAUGUGUUUAUGUUUCUUCUUGUACUUUCAUCGAGCUUGUUCUUGGCAAGCUUCUUUCUCUCCUUUUCAUUUUGACGGGAGUGAUGGACGGAAGAGAGCGUCCUUCAGUCCACUCACAGGCGGUGCUAGGAUCGAAUUAGCUGCCGACUCAUUCGUCCACUUGCCGAGCAAAGUUAUUUGCCGAGGAGCUUAGCAGGUGAGUGAAUGAAGCGGGAGGUAAAGUCUUUGAUCUCGCACCGUCGUUGCUUGGACUGAAGGGUGCUCCCUCCUCCUCUCUAAGCCAUGUUAUGUAGCACGGCACCUGCUUGAUCUGCUCGUUUCUUCGGGCGCCAUACCGCCUGAUCGAUCUGAUCUGUUCUUUUCGAGCUUCUCCGGCAUGAAAUGAUAGAACCUGUGUCGCUCUGGUGUGCUUGCAGUUCUAGUUUGGCUCUUCUUUAAUUUAGUCCGGUAAUGGAUGUCGAGGCUCAAUUUUUCUACUUGUUUAACCAGGCCUUUGUACUAAAAAUCCUUGAUCUGCUCACAGAAGCCUUGUUUUUCUGAAAGCGCAUCUGCUUUGGGUACCUGCGAUGACAUCCUAGAUGCAUGGUACAGCUCUCGUUCUCGUAGCUAGAAUGCUAGAUACGGGCUCGAUCUCCAUCCUGUGUGCGUUUUCUCUACUUUUUUGCACUCCGUGAUGUGAUCUGUCGACGCACUGUUGCAGGCUGGGACAAAACGAAAUUGCUCCAUGGACGACAUGUGCUGGCCGACCUGCGGACGAUCAAACAAUCCAGCGGCCCUUGCAAAGUCAAUCAUACGCAUGUGUGGCUGAUUUAACCUGUCGUCUUAGAAUCGUCUGAAAAAAUCGUGUGUAUAGCAAGAGUCGGGACAAAAUACGGUGCUUUGCUUGCUUUUGCUGGUGUGGGGGAUCGAUCGAUCACAUCGCGCGUCUUUGGGGUCGUGCAAACAGUGAGACGUCUUUCGAUCUCCCUGUUUGCUUUGGAACUUGGCACGCAACCAGGAUGAUUGGACUGGACGUGUGCGUGGCCCUGGUGCUAUGCUAUGCUAGGCUAGCUUUCGGAGCAUGGUCACCACAUGGAUUCGGUCGAGUUCCCCAAACGUUUUUAUCAUCUCCCCGAGGGCUCUUAGGGGCCUAAGUACCCUAUUAAUCUUAGAUUUGUGGUGUACAGUGGAGUAGUUUAUAACCCACUUAUGUUUUUGCAUCUGGAUAUUCUCCCCCCUCGCAUGGAAAUAUGUGAGCAUGCAUGUCGGCUUGUGAUGUGAUUUUAUCAAGUCAGGAUAUGAACAACGUUGUACUCUUUGUAAGCAUGUUGUCAUUAUUUUCACCGAAAUAGUUAUGAAAAAAAUCCUAAUUAGUAUGAUUUCUGGAGAUGCAUCCGGUAGAGUGCUUGUUUACUAGACCUCUCAUUAUUUUACAGAAGUCCUAACAAUAUUAGGUCUUGUUUUGUGCUGCUAGCUAGCUGUUGGUAGAAUUAUUUUACAGUAGUAUGCAUGGUCUGUGUUGGCUUCAUGAGUACAAUUGUUCAUGAUGACUUGAUUGGUGCAAUAAUCUGUCAUACCUAUAUAUAUGUAUUAGUACACACUUUGAAGCAAUUUCGUCCUCUUCAGUUUUCCUAUCUUGUUCAUCUGCAGUCUACAUAUUCAGUUCCAAUUAUUCUCUCAACCUCUUGACAUUUGCCUUCUUGUGAUGGCUAUUAAUUUCUGUACCAAACAG
rnacentral:lncRNA from 1 species